rnacentral:rRNA from 1 species
UACGGCGGGUGCAAGCGUUAUCCGGAUUCACUGGGUUUAAAGGGUGCGUAGGCGGGUAAGUAAGUCCGUGGUGAAAUCUCUGAGCUUAACUCAGAAACUGCCGUGGAUACUAUUUGCCUUGAAUAUUGUGGAGGUGAGCGGAAUAUGUCACGUAGCGGUGAAAUGCUUAGAUAUGACAUAGAACACCAAUUGCGAAGGCAGCUCACUACACAAUCAUUGACGCUGAGGCACGAAAGCGUGGGGAUCAAACAGG